rnacentral:rRNA from 1 species
AGUGAACGCUGGCGGUAGGCCUAACACAUGCAAGUCGAACGGCAGCACAGUAAGAGCUUGCUCUUACGGGUGGCGAGUGGCGGACGGGUGAGGAAUACAUCGGAAUCUACUUUUUCGUGGGGGAUAACGUAGGGAAACUUACGCUAAUACCGCAUACGACCUACGGGUGAAAGCAGGGGAUCUUCGGACCUUGCGCGAUUGAAUGAGCCGAUGUCGGAUUAGCUAGUUGGCGGGGUAAAGGCCCACCAAGGCGACGAUCCGUAGCUGGUCUGAGAGGAUGAUCGGCCACACUGCAACUGGGACACGGUCCAGACUCCUACGGGAGCCCGCAGUGGGGACUAUUGGACAAUGGGCGCAAGCCUGAUCCAGCCAUACCGCGUGGGUGAAGAAGGCCUUCGGGUUGUAAAGCCCUUUUGUUGGGAAAGAAAAGCAGCAGGUUAAUACCCCGCUGUUCUGACGGUACCCAAAGAAUAAGCACCGGCUAACUUCGUG